rnacentral:rRNA from 1 species
UAGAGACUCAGAGCUGCAUAUCAAUAAGCGGAGGAAAAGAAACUAACUAGGAUUCCCUCAGUAACGGCGAGUGAAGCGGGAAGAGCUCAAAUUUGAAAUCUUCAAGGUUCUACCUUGACGAAUUGUAGUUUAAAGAAGUGUUUUCUGUUGAGGUUUUGGUAAAAGUUCUUUGGAAUAGGACAUCAUAGAGGGUGAGAAUCCCGUAUUUGACCUUUACUUUCAACUUUGUGAUACACUUUCAAAGGGUCGGAUUGUUUGGGAAUGCGGUCCAAAAUGGGUGGUAAAUUUCAUCUAAAGCUAAAUAUUGGCGAGAGACCGAUAGCGAACAAGUACCGUGAGGGAAAGAUGAAAAGAACUUUGAAAAGAGAGUUAAACAGUACGUGAAAUUGUCAAAAGGGAAGCGUUUGACACCAGUGUUGUUUUUCUGAAAAUCAAUUAAAGAACUGUUUAUGCUAAGUUGUUUAGACUUUAUCAGCUAACUGUUUAGUUUUGAGCUUUUCUUUAAUGCACUUUUCAGUUAACAAGUCAACAUCAAUUUCUUUUGCUGUAAAAAAGCUUGAGGAAGGUGGCUUGAGAUUCGUCUUAAGUGUUUAUAGCCUCUUGCCUAUGCAGUCGGAGAGAUUGAGGUCUGCAGCGUAGAUCCUUCGGGGCUAAAUGCAUUUGUGCUAAGUUAUAGCAUUUUAUAGACAACUUGUUGACUAUGAUUUGUCUUGUAGCUUACUCGCUUAUGUUAUUUUACCUACGCUUAGGAUGUUGAACGCGCACAGAGUCUC